UGAAGAUGUGGCUCAGUGGUAGAGCACUUGCCUAGCAUGCAUGGGACCCUGGGCUCUAGACUCAGCACUGCAA
rnacentral:tRNA from 1 species